GUGACAACCAAUUUAAUGUCUCCGCGUGUCAUACAUCUGAAACCUGCCAUGUUUUCACAUCAAAUUUUUUUCUGGCUGAAUAUAAAGCCUAUGGCAUUGGCAUGUAACAAACCAAAAUCACCUAACCUAAUUCAUUCCCUUUACAUUUCCUUGUGUUUCCGCUUACUCCAUACCUUUCUUCUUGCUUGGAUUUCAAGAUUUUACACUCAACAAUCAUGGAUUCAACUUACUACAACCUCGGAUCAGAGCAAGGUGACUCCUCGUCGACCGAAGAUGUAGAGUCGCCGAGAUCCGUCGUUACUGCUGCCUCGGCUAGGAAAAGUGGACGAUUGAGACGGUGGCGAAAAAUUUAUGCGAUUGAUCGUCAUCUUAAAAUUAAUGAAGAGAAAAAUAAAGAGGAAAAGGAAAAAAGUCAUUUGCAUAAUCAAGUGUUGAGGAUUAAGGAAGAAGAAUUACAAAUCGGAGAAUAUUUGAUGGAUUAUUUUGCUAUUUUUAACAUAAAUUAUGUAAUUGAUGAUGAUGAUGUUUGGUCUAGGAAUUCCAAUUUGCCUGCUUCUCCUCUUGGUUCCAACAAGAAUUAUUAGUAAUCUUCGUUUUGCAUCACUUAUCGGUUUCAAAACAGAUAAUCAGGACGAAAAGGAAGGCAGGAAGAGGACAAAAACAAUUGAAGGGAGGACAAGCAAUGAGAUCUGAUUCAAAAGCGAUUGGGGCAGCCUUCUCACGUACAUCUGGUUUUGUUUGGUAAAUGAUAAUGUUAUGUGUGUGUAUGUGCACAUAAAAAUAUCUUCAGUGAGAUAUCUUUUGUGGCCACCCUACCUGUAGUCCUGUACAGUUUUUGUUUUUAAUUUUUUUGUUUAGAACAAUGCAAAUUAAGGUGGUGUCUUAAUUCCUUCUGGAUCAUUAAUUAGUUUUGCUUUUUAAGAGUAUUACAUUGAAUAGUGCGGUUCAAAUGGGACCCGACCUGAAA